rnacentral:rRNA from 1 species
UACGUAGGGUGCAGGCGUUAAUCGGAAUUACUGGGCGUAAAGCGUGCGCAGGCGGUCUGCUAAGAGCGGUGUGAAAUCCCCGGGCUUAACCUGGGAACUGCGCUUCUAACUGGCAGGCUUGAGUGUGGCAGAGGGGGGUGGAAUUCCACGUGUAGCAGUGAAAUGCGUAGAGAUGUGGAGGAACACCGAUGGCGAAGGCAGCCCCCUGGGCUAACACUGACGCUCAUGCACGAAAGCGUGGGGAGCAAACAGG